GGACUACACGGGUAUCUAAUCCUGUUUGCUCCCCACGCUUUCGUGUCUCAGCGUCAGUAUUCGUCCAGUUGGCCGCCUUCGCCACCGGUGUUCCUCUCGAUAUCUACGAAUUUCACCUCUACACCGAGAAUUCCACCAACCUCUCCGAUACUCGAGCCAAACAGUUUCAAGUGCACUUCCCAGGUUGAGCCUGGGGCUUUCACACCUGACUUGCAUGGCCGCCUACACACGCUUUACGCCCAGUAAUUCCGAACAACGUUUGCACCCUCUGUCUUACCGCGGCUGCUGGCAC
rnacentral:rRNA from 1 species